AGUGGCGGACCCCUGAGUAAUGUCUGGGAAACUGCCCGAUGGAGGGGGAUAACUACUGGAAACGGUAGCUAAUACCGCAUAACGUCUUCGGACCAAAGUGGGGGACCUUCGGGCCUCACACCAUCGGAUGUGCCCAGAUGGGAUUAGCUAGUAGGUGGGGUAAUGGCUCACCUAGGCGACGAUCCCUAGCUGGUCUGAGAGGAUGACCAGCCACACUGGAACUGAGACACGGUCCAGACUCCUACGGGAGGCAGCAGUGGGGAAUAUUGCACAAUGGGCGCAAGCCUGAUGCAGCCAUGCCGCGUGUAUGAAGAAGGCCUUCGGGUUGUAAAGUACUUUCAGCGGGGAGGAAGGCGAUGGAGUUAAUAGCUUCAUCGAUUGACGUUACCCGCAGAAGAAGCACCGGCUAACUCCGUGCCAGCAGCCGCGGUAAUACGGAGGGUGCAAGCGUUAAUCGGAAUUACUGGGCGUAAAGCGCACGCAGGCGGUCUGUCAAGUCGGAUGUGAAAUCCCCGGGCUUAACCUGGGAACUGCAUUCGAAACUGGCAGGCUAGAGUCUUGUA
rnacentral:rRNA from 1 species